GACGAACGCUGGCGGCGUGCUUAACACAUGCAAGUCGAACGGAAAGGCCCCUUUGGGGGUACUCGAGUGGCGCACGGGUGCGUAACACGUGAGUAACCUGCCCUUGACUUCGGGAUAACUUCAGGAAACUGGGGCUAAUACCGGAUAGGAAUCCUUGCUGCAUGGUGGGGGUUGGAAAGCUUCGGCGGUUUUGGAUGGACUCGCGGCUUAUCAGCUUGUUGGUGGGGUAGUGGCUUACCAAGGCUUUGACGGGUAGCCGGCCUGAGAGGGCGACCGGCCACAUUGGGACUGAGAUACGGCCCAGACUCCUACGGGAGGCAGCAGUGGGGAAUAUUGCACAAUGGGCGGAAGCCUGAUGCAGCAACGCCGCGUGCGGGAUGACGGCCUUCGGGUUGUAAACCGCUUUCAGCAGGGGCGAAGCUUUUGUGACGGUACCUGCAGAAGAAGCACCGGCUAACUACGUG
rnacentral:rRNA from 1 species